AGAGUUUGAUCAUGGCUCAGGACGAACGCUGGCGGCGUGCCUAAUACAUGCAAGUAGAACGCUGACUACUUUAGCUUGCUAGAGUAGAAGGAGUUGCGAACGGGUGAGUAACGCGUAGGUAACCUGCCUACUAGCGGGGGAUAACUAUUGGAAACGAUAGCUAAUACCGCAUAACAGUGUUUAACACAUGUUAGAUGCUUGAAAGAUGCAAAUGCAUCACUAGUAGAUGGACCUGCGUUGUAUUAGCUAGUUGGUGGGGUAACGGCCUACCAAGGCGACGAUACAUAGCCGACCUGAGAGGGUGAUCGGCCACACUGGGACUGAGACACGGCCCAGACUCCUACGGGAGGCAGCAGUAGGGAAUCUUCGGCAAUGGGGGCAACCCUGACCGAGCAACGCCGCGUGAGUGAAGAAGGUUUUCGGAUCGUAAAGCUCUGUUGUAAGAGAAGAACGUGUGUGAGAGUGGAAAGUUCACACAGUGACGGUAACUUACCAGAAAGGGACGGCUGACUACGUGCCAGCAGCCGCGGUAAUACGUAGGUCCCGAGCGUUGUCCGGAUUUAUUGGGCGUAAAGCGAGCGCAGGCGGUUUAAUAAGUCUGAAGUUAAAGGCAGUGGCUUAACCAUUGUUCGCUUUGGAAACUGUUAAACUUGAGUGCAGAAGGGGAGAGUGGAAUUCCAUGUGUAGCGGUGAAAUGCGUAGAUAUAUGGAGGAACACCGGUGGCGAAAGCGGCUCUCUGGUCUGUAACUGACGCUGAGGCUCGAAAGCGUGGGGAGCAAACAGGAUUAGAUACCCUGGUAGUCCACGCCGUAAACGAUGAGUGCUAGGUGUUAGGCCCUUUCCGGGGCUUAGUGCCGCAGCU
rnacentral:rRNA from 1 species